rnacentral:sRNA from 1 species
CGCUGGUGGCGCACUCCCUGUUAAGGGCUUUGUGAUCACGUGCGCAUUCAGCAUACCGAUACCAGGCCCGCUUUUUUCAGCGGGCUUUUUUUU